CCUACGGGAGGCAGCAGUGGGGAAUAUUGCACAAUGGGCGGAACCCUGAUCCAGCGACGCCGCGUGAGGGAAGAAGUAAUUCGGUAUGUAAAGCUCUAUCAGCAGGGAAGAAACUGACGUUACCUGAGUAAGAAGCCCCGGCUAACUACGUGCCAGCAGCCGCGGUAAUACGUAGGGGGCAAGCGUUAUCCGGAUUUACUGGGUGUAAAGGGAGCGUAGUCGGCAGUGCAAGUCUGGAGUGAAAGGCGGGGGCUCAACCCCCGGACUGCACUGGAAACUGUACGGCUGGAGUGCAGGAGAGGUAAGUGGAAUUCGUAGUGUAGCGGUGAAAUGCGUAGAUAUUAGGAGGAACACCAGUGGCGAAGGCAGCUUACUGGACUGGAACUGACGUGGAGGCUCGAAAGCGUGGGGAGCGAACAGGAUUAGAUACCCGAGUAGUC
rnacentral:rRNA from 1 species